rnacentral:rRNA from 1 species
AUUGAACGCUGGCGGCAGGCCUAACACAUGCAAGUCGAGCGGAUGAAGGGAGCUUGCUCCUGGAUUCAGCGGCGGACGGGUGAGUAAUGCCUAGGAAUCUGCCUGGUAGUGGGGGAUAACGUCCGGAAACGGGCGCUAAUACCGCAUACGUCCUGAGGGAGAAAGUGGGGGAUCUUCGGACCUCACGCUAUCAGAUGAGCCUAGGUCGGAUUAGCUAGUUGGUGGGGUAAAGGCCUACCAAGGCGACGAUCCGUAACUGGUCUGAGAGGAUGAUCAGUCACGCGGGAACGGAGACGCGGUGCAGAGGCCGACGGGAGGCAGCGGUGGGGAAUAUUGGACAAUGGGCGAAAGCCUGAUCCAGCCAUGCCGCGUGUGUGAAGAAGGUCUUCGGAUUGUAAAGCACUUUAAGUUGGGAGGAAGGGCAGUAAGUUAAUACCUUGCUGUUUUGACGUUACCAACAGAAUAAGCACCGGCUAACUUCGUG